rnacentral:rRNA from 1 species
GCCCACUGAAUUAUUUUAAAGGGCUGCAGUAUAUUGACUGUACAAAGGUAGCAUAAUCAUUAGUCUUUUAAUUGAAGACUUGUAUGAAUGAUUUGAUGAAAUAUAAACUGUCUCUUUAUUAAUAAUAGAAAUUAAUUUUUUAGUUAAAAAGCUAAAAUUUAUUUAAAAGACGAGAAGACCCUAUAGAGUUUUAUAUUUAAAUUUAUAUUAAUUCUUUAUAAAAUUUAUAUUUAAUAUUUUUUUAAUUAUUUUAUUGGGGUGAUAGAAAAAUUUAUUAAACUUUUUUUAAAAUUUUUACAUUAAUAUAUGAAAUUUUGAUCCAUAAUUUAUGAUUAAAAGAUUAAAUUACCUUAGGGAUAACAGCGUAAUUUUUUUUUUUAGUUCUUAUAAGAAAAAAAGUUUGCGACC